rnacentral:rRNA from 1 species
GUGGGGAAUAUUGCACAAUGGGGGAAACCCUGAUGCAGCGACGCCGCGUGAGUGAUGAAGUAUUUCGGUAUGUAAAGCUCUAUCAGCAGGGAAGAUAAUGACGGUACCUGACUAAGAAGCACCGGCUAAAUACGUGCCAGCAGCCGCGGUAAUACGUAUGGUGCAAGCGUUAUCCGGAUUUACUGGGUGUAAAGGGUGCGUAGGUGGCAAGGCAAGUCUGAAGUGAAAAUCCGGGGCUCAACCCCGGAACUGCUUUGGAAACUGUUUAGCUGGAGUACAGGAGAGGUAAGUGGAAUUCCUAGUGUAGCGGUGAAAUGCGUAGAUAUUAGGAGGAACACCAGUGGCGAAGGCGACUUACUGGACUGCUACUGACACUGAGGCACGAAAGCGUGGGGAGCAAACAGGAUUAGAAACCCGGGUAGUCC